AUGUGUACGCAAAAAAAAAAAAAAAAAUACAACAACAACAAAAAGAGCAGGAGUCUUCAAGCUACAGAAAUCAACCUUAACGCCAAAAAAUUAAGUUGUUUCGGAGCCAAAGUGCCGCCUGGCCGAGGUUGUGCGCGAAGAGGAACAAUCCCCGAAGCCGUGUGGCCGGAGCGGGAGGAACUCCCGGGAUGGCAGCAGCAGCCCCCGUCGUCGUCGCCGUCGUCAGCAGCAGCAGCAGCAGCAGCAGCAGCAGCUACAGGACCUGCCGCGCCAGGUGGACCGAGCCGAGUGACACACGGACAUGGAGCGGGGUGGGAGGGGGUUAAAUCCGCCUUCCUCCUUUCCCGGCCCGGCAAUGAUUCACACUCGCUCCCGAGUCAAGUCCUCAUUAAGCAGGCGGAAAAUGCCCGAGUGUGGAUGUACACAGAUAACUAUGUAGCCACACAUGGACCCGGCGGCGGGCGGCGGGCGCGGGCCGGCCGGGCCGACGCGCGGGGAGCGGGCUCAGCUGGCGCGGCCGGGGCUGAGAGCCGGGCCGCGGAAACCCGCGCUCAAGGGCAUUUAACUACUUGGGAGCCAAAGCGAAAGCCGGGGCGCGGGUCCAGGCGGCGAGCGGGCGCGCGGCUGGUGCCCGGAAGAGGCCGGGUCCGCCCGCUCCUCAGCCCGAGAAGGCUUUCCUCUCAGAGCUUUCUCUCUUCUCCUCCUCCACUUUUCAGUCCCAAACGCCGCAGCCCCCUCCUGUCAUCGCCUCUCAAGCCAACAUGGCGGCGGCGGCGGCCGCAGCUGCCUGAGCGCGAGUCGGGGACACGGGGAGAGCACGGACCCCCCCCUUGCCGCCCCCGGCCCCCCCUCCGCGGACACCAAGUGCGUCACUACGGAGACCACCCUCGAGCAUCACGGGAAGUGUAGUCUACGCGGCGGCGGGAGCCGGCCACCUAACGCGUCCUGGCCCCACUCCGAGGCCACGCCCCUCGUAGCAACAGUUGCUAGGAAAGGAAAGCUCGCUUUAGUCAAGCUGCCGCCCUGGAGUUAGGUGAUACCUGCUGCCAGCAGUGCUGUGACCGUGCGAAUUAUUUGGGGAAAAUAAUUCUGCACAGAGAAAUUCCCUCAUGCACAAUAUACACGCAGAGUUGAAAUAUGGUUUACCUCCAAGCAGAGUCAUUCAUUUUAAUGACAGCAAGCUCUCCACAUCCUGCAAUCUCAGAGCAUUUCGUAUAGUGAUUUCAUCUCAGUCUCCUCAACAUUGCAUUUGGAAGAUCAGAAGCAAUCAUUGAUUUCCAAUAAGGUCACAGAAGUUCAACAGGAACGAGGGUCUCAUUAAGCAGGGAGAAUGUUUGAACAUGUGUUUCUUGCAGACCCGGGGCCAUAAAGCUACAAUCUAGUUAAUUGAAAUUACCAAAAACUGUAUUAGAUACAAUAGCGUAUCAUGCCAAAUCUAUAUUAGGAAAUAGCUACUACAGACUAAAUGGGGAUUCACCAGUUCACCAGGCUAGCCCCUAAAUUCUAUUUAACACAAAAUGUAAUAAAAAACCUAUGCACCUGAAGUGAUUAACA
rnacentral:lncRNA from 1 species